UUCGCCCUUAGAGUUUGAUCCUGGCUCAGGAUGAACGCUGGCGGCGUGCUUAACACAUGCAAGUCGAACGAGGGAUUUUGGAUGAGACUUCGGUGGAUUCCGGAAUACCGAGUGGCGGACGGGUGAGUAACGCGUGGGCAACCUGCCCUGUACAGGGGGACAACAGCUGGAAACGGCUGCUAAUACCGCAUAAGCGCACGGUAUCGCAUGAUACAGUGUGAAAAACUCCGGUGGUACAGGAUGGGCCCGCGUUGGAUUAGGUAGUUGGUGAGAUAACAGCCCACCAAGCCGACGAUCGGUAGCCGGACUGAGAGGUUGAUCGGCCACAUUGGGACUGAGACACGGCCCAGACUCCUACGGGAGGCAGCAGUGGGGGAUAUUGCACAAUGGGGGAAACCCUGAUGCAGCGACGCCGCGUGAGGGAAGACGGUUUUCGGAUUGUAAACCUCUGUCUUUGGGGACGAAAAAAUGACGGUACCCAAGGAGGAAGCCACGGCUAACUACGUGCCAGCAGCCGCGGUAAUACGUAGGUGGCAAGCGUUGCCCGGAAUUACUGGGUGUAAAGGGAGCGUAGGCGGGGAGACAAGUUGAAUGUUUAAACUAUCGGCUUAACUGAUAGUCGCGUUCAAAACUAUCACUCUUGAGUGCAGUAGAGGUAGGCGGAAUUCCUAGUGUAGCGGUGAAAUGCGUAGAUAUUAGGAGGAACACCAGUGGCGAAGGCGGCCUACUGGGCUGUAACUGACGCUGAGGCUCGAAAGCGUGGGUAGCAAACAGGAUUAGAUACCCUGGUAGUCCACGCCGUAAACGAUGAUUACUGGGUGUGGGGGGGACGGACCCCUUCCGUGCCGGAGUUAACACAAUAAGUAAUCCACCUGGGGAGUACGACCGCAAGGUUGAAACUCAAAGGAAUUGACGGGGGCCCGCACAAGCAGUGGAGUAUGUGGUUUAAUUCGAAGCAACGCGAAGAACCUUACCAGGUCUUGACAUCGAGUGACGAACUUAGAGAUAAGUUUUUCCUUCGGGACACAAAGACAGGUGGUGCAUGGUUGUCGUCAGCUCGUGUCGUGAGAUGUUGGGUUAAGUCCCGCAACGAGCGCAACCCUUAUCAUUAGUUGCUACGCAAGAGCACUCUAAUGAGACUGCCGUUGAUAAAACGGAGGAAGGUGGGGAUGACGUCAAAUCAUCAUGCCUCUUAUGACCUGGGCUACACACGUACUACAAUGGUGAUAAAACAGAGGGAAGCAACACAGCGAUGUGAAGCAAAUCCCGAAAAAUCAUCUCAGUUCAGAUUGCAGGCUGCAACUCGCCUGCAUGAAGUCGGAAUUGCUAGUAAUCGCGGAUCAGCAUGCCGCGGUGAAUACGUUCCCGGGCCUUGCACACACCGCCCGUCA
rnacentral:rRNA from 1 species